rnacentral:rRNA from 1 species
GAUGAACGCUAGCGGGAGGCCUAACACAUGCAAGCCGAGCGGUAUUGUUUCUUCGGAAAUGAGAGAGCGGCGUACGGGUGCGUAACACGUGUGCAACCUGCCUUUAUCUGGGGGAUAGCCUUUCGAAAGGAAGAUUAAUACUCCAUAAUAUAUUGAACGGCAUCGUUUAAUAUUGAAAGCUCCGGCGGAUAGAGAUGGGCACGCGCAAGAUUAGCUAGUUGGCGAGGUAACGGCUCACCAAGGCGAUGAUCUUUAGGGGGCCUGAGAGGGUGAUCCCCCACACUGGUACUGAGACACGGACCAGACUCCUACGGGAGGCAGCAGUGAGGAAUAUUGGUCAAUGGGUGCAAGCCUGAACCAGCCAUCCCGCGUGAAGGACGACUGCCCUAUGGGUUGUAAACUUCUUUUGUAUAGGGAUAAACCUACCCUCGAGAGGGUAGCUGAAGGUACUAUACGAAUAAGCACCGGCUAACUCCGUGCCAGCCGCCGCCGUAAGAC